UUCAACACUGUCCCCUACAUUGUGGGAAUCAACAAGCAAGAGUUUGGCUGGAUUUUGCCCACGAUGAUGGGAUUUCCCAUCUCUGAAGGCAAGCUGGACCAGAAGACAGCCACAUCACUCCUGCAGAAGACUGGCUCUCUUCUGGAGGUCCAAGACGAACUGACUCAAAUGGCCACUGAGAAGAAUUUUAGAGGRACAGACGACCCUGU